rnacentral:tRNA from 1 species
AUCUUUCUAGUAUCAGAUAGUACACGCGACUUCCAAUCGCAAGGUCUUGGUCAAAAUCCAAGGAAAGAUA